rnacentral:lncRNA from 1 species
GCACAUUUUCCAUCUUUGGAUGUGUCCAAGCCAAGGCAGGACAUAUUUCUGAUGGAUGUGCUCUAACUGCAGUUAAAAGCAUGAGUAACACUGCAGUCAAGUCUGAGAUAAGCAGAUAAGGUUUGAGGACUGUGGCAUACAAGAGGUCUGACUAACAGUUCCCAGAGGACCUACAGAAGAUCUAAUAAUUCCUAUCUAUCCUUAACCUCUAGGAGACUGAGAAAAAUAGCACUUAGCAGAAAGUGGAAGGGAAGAAUUGAAAUGACAGCCCCAUCACCGGCACACUAAUGUGCCUUCUGUUUCUAAGAGGACUGUAUCUUUCACCUGCUCAGCGCUUUAUUAUGUAUUUUCAACAAUGAUUUCUCUCCAGUCCACAAACCCUCUGUGCCCAUUGGUGUCAGUGUCUUUCGUCUGACUAGACUCAGGCUAACAGCAUGAGAUGGACAAAGUCCCAGCCUUAUUCUUCAAGCAAGUCAGAGCAGCCAUAGGUGUGUGGAAAGCCUCGUUUGGGGAAAUGCUGAAAUUUCUAGGCCAGACAUGAACUUAGCACUAGAAGCUGGAAGAGUUCUCAGACAGUAACACAACCGGUAAGUUGACAUAUUCCUUGAGGUUUUAACUCUUUUCUCUUCAAAAUGUGACAGCUACU